GUACUGAGAAAGGUUCUCUUCUUCCCCCGUUGUCAGAGGAUGUCUUUUGCUGUUAGAUGCUCACGUGUAAAACGUGAAGCAGGAUACGUGGAAGGCUUUAACAGGCAGGUGCACACACAUUGGCUGCCCGCUUGUCAGCCUCACAGAGCCUCAUAGCACUCCAGGAGCAUGUUUGGGACAGUGCCAUUGCUGUUUGCAGGCAAUACGAAGACACGGAACCUUCUCCCACUCACCAGCAGCAAGAGUGUGUGACUGACACCAGGCAAGGGGCAUGCGCCAGGCCACUGAGGGUGCUGGCCACAGAUCUUGUCUGGAGAAUAAAGGAACAGCCAGAUUGCUUUCGGGAGGCAUCUUCUUCCUUUCACAUCCCUGAGAGCGUGUUUUGCCUGCGACGGAAAGUCAAGCCUCAGCUGAGGACCUUCUGUGUGGUGCUCUGAUUUCUUUGCUAAGUAGUCUGAUUUUUCCCCCCCAGUAAUUUCUAUUUUUAUGCACAGUGACUCUCAAUUGGUGAGAAAAUGAUGAUCACAUAAUCUCUCUUCCUCGAAGCUGCCGAAUGAUUAGCCUCAUUUGCUGCGCGUUCCACUCCACGGCCCGGAAAUGACGCCCCUCUCCAACUCCGGCUAAGCAUGUCAGCUAGAUGGGUUUGACCUUUUCCUGGAAAACAAGGGAGAUGAGAACACGUGAUGUGUGCGCAAACUGAUGCUCAAAUGGGCUAUUUUAGCCAACACUUCAAGAUACAUGCUUCGCUAAACUGGCUGAGAACACACCGGAGCGUUUCCAGUGAGGGCUUUUUAAGGCAUUUAAGAGUCUUGCUAUCUUCAAAAGGUACCCUCGGCUUGUUUACACCCUGGAUGAUAAGAAUAAGAAGCUCCGGAUGUGGCGUCAAGAACUUCAGUGCCUCUGUCGUCUGGAUCCCGGGUGAUUGAGAGACUGCAGGAAUUUUUAGAGAUAAGUUCAUCUUGAGAAUAGGAGCCGUAUUUUCAACGGCAAAUCAACCAAAUCAAAACUGCCAAGAACAUGUGUAAUAAGAAGGAAGAUGUGUAAUAAGAAGCCACAUCAAAAUGUCCGCAGGGAUUUCCUCUGGGCUGUGACCUGGGGUUGGUCUGUGUCUUCUUGUCUUUUCCUUGCCUGCAAAUUUCAGGCAGGACCAUUUUAUGAGUUAAAAGAACGGCCCUAACAGUGAGCGCCAGCUGACAUGGUAGGAGGAGCCGUAUGCCAUAGGACUCUGAGGAAUGUUCUCAUGAAUCCUGUCUACCCAGAUUGCAACCUGAAUACCAGAACACAUUGUUUGAAUACAUAAUUCAAGGUCAACGAGAAGGUGUUCCAUUGUAUGAUUUAGUCAUGAGCCACCGCUUGGAGCAUCAUCUUUCUGCCAUUAAUGAGUCGCCUUCUACAGCAGCAGGAUUUGGAAACCUUUGAACUGUUUAGAGGAGAGCCUUUGGGUGGGUGUGUUUGCCCUUUUCUGUGUUAAAUUGCUUGUCUCCGGCAGGCAUUUCCCUAACAAAUCGAGUCCUGGUCCCAGUCUGGCUGUUGAAUUGGGAGCCAUUAAUAACUGGCAAUUUGUAGCUGUCAUAAAGAUGCCGGGGACUUUCCAGAUGGCUUUUCCCGCCUUGUGCCAGUCCCUUUGAUGGGAUUUUAAUCAGCAGGCAUUGGUCGUGGUCCUUGGCCCACAGCAGGGACAGAGGUCACCUGUUUACCAUAGCUUUGGUUUUCUGAUGAAAGGGCAAAGCCCCAGGAGGGCAUGUGCUGGGUAUUUUAGGAGCCAGGGGGAAGAGACACUGGAGUAUAAUAUGAGAAUGUAAACCAAACACAACAACAAAAAGUCCAAUUGAACUUUUAAAAUCACCGAGCUAACUUUGAAGGUAGUGAACAGAAGUUGUGAGCGAGCGUCAUGUGUGCCCUUUGGGUCUGACUCAACACACUAACUUAGCACUGAAGGAGUGCAGAGGAACCUCUCACACUCAACUCUGUUCCUCUCCCUGCCCUCCAAAGCCUCCCACAAGACCUUCUGAAAAAGAGAAUCGAGGUUCAAGAAACCCCCACUGAUAACAAACAGUCUUUCCAAAUAGGCUCAGGAAGCCGCUCCAUAGUGGGAUGUCAGGGGCUGAUCCAAAUUGCCGUCACCCCUGUAUCCACCAUUCCAUCUAAAUGUUAUGACCACUUUGCUUCCUACACAAAUUGGUCUUGCCAAUCACAGAACAAUCACUUCUAUCAACGACGCAAGACCCUCUUCUUCUAUACCCAAGACCCAUGGAAUCCCAGGUGGGAAGCGGGCGUUGUUGGUAAGCUCAACCGUAAGAACCAGUCUGGGUCUCCAAUAAGGACUAUUCACAUCCAGAGAAAGUAUGUCUCAAUUGUCCAACCUCUGGAAAUUGGAGAAAUAGGAGAAUUAAACACUCCUCCAAAGUUAUUACAUCCCUGACAUCCUCCCUCAUAAAUGGCACUAACUUGUCAUUUCACCUUCUGUUUCAGACCUCAGCCUACCAAUUCCUUAAUGUCACCCAACCUGGUCACUUCAAAGAUUGCUGGCUAUGUGUACCCCCUGGAAGUAACUUACAAUCACCUCUUACAGCUUCUCUAGAGAUGCUGCCACACAACCUCGCUUCACCUUUUAUCAGCUGCCCUGACUCCGAUGUUGCCAUGACUCCAUACCUUUUCUCUAUCUCUCUUUUCAUGGCAGACUAUUUUAGGACAUCCGGGACACACUCUGUAGGAACGCUAAGCUCCCUAGACUGUAUCAGAAUCAUAACCCUUGAUACCUCACCUCUGCCACAGUGCCCUGAAGACCAGAACACGCCAAUUCUCUCUGGUACUCAGGUCUAUCAUCAUUUACCUGCAAGCUGGGCAGUAGUUUGCACAUUGGUCUCUUUUUUCCAAAUUAGGAGUAAUCCACAGGGAAGAGCCGCUACCAAUCCUGGUGUGGACUCAAUAGCUGCCCAACAUAACAAAAGGGUAGUGAAAUCCUGUCACUCUUGGUCCGUGUAGGAAUAACUGAAGGUGUUGCUCCCGGAACGGCAGGACUGAACACCUCUCUAACCUUAUACAACCAGUUCUCUUCCCAGCUUGUCUGCAAUCUUCAAGAGGUGGCUCAAACCAAGCUCACUCUCCAAGGACAGAUCGAUUCCCUGGCAACAGUGAUGCUUCAAGACCUAUGGGGACUGGAUUUUCUUACAGCUAUAGAGGGUGGCCUUGGGUUUUAUUCUCCAGCAAGAAUGCUGCUUCUAUGUCAACCAGUCAGGUACAGUAAAAACCAAACCUCAACGACUCCAAACAGACCCCCAAGAACACAGAGAACAGCUUGAUGCCUCUGAUCCCUGGGUUUUCACAAACCCCAUAUGGAAAUGGAUACUGCCCUUCCUAACCCAUCUUCUUCUCAUUUUUCUGUUUUUAACUAUUUGUUCCCUGGUUCAUUAAUUUCUUCUCUACAGUCCUCCAAUGACAAAUUCAAAAAAGUUCCAACCAACCAAUUAAUCAGUUCCUUUUUACAUGAUUACCAACCACUGUCCACAGAAGAACCUGAUGCGACCGAACAUUGAAUGAGUCUUGAUGGUGAGGGUCAGCUACACCCCAAAAUUAACAACACCCCUAGACAACAGGAAGCAGUUUAAGAGAUCCGAUGCCCCUAUUCCCACUUUACAACCGGCCCGUCCCCUUUUUUGAUUCUCCUCUUUAUGAUUAGGAAAAGAGAGGAUUGCUGACAACUAGGUACAUCCAUGGACAGCUAGAAAUGAUUUCGCAACAAUCAGGCAUCUUUACAGCCAGCCCUCGAGGGACCUAAUGAUGAGACAUGUCAUCUCUAGCAGCUCAAGAGGAAACAGCGUUGCUGCUGUCUGUCUCUUUGCACAUGUGCCACGGGCCCAAUAAAAGCCUCGUUCUCCCUGCCCCCUUCUCUCCUCUCUCCUCCCUCUCCCAGAGGCUGCCUCUAUUUCCCCUCCUAAUAAACCUCACACUGAGACCGGCUGCAGGGCGGAGAUUUGUGAUUUGUUUGGGACCACUUAAUUCUAACACCUGUGGUCUCUGUUUCAACAUUGGCCCCUCCUUUGGCCUACUCUGUCUCUCUUCCACUCUGACAUCCAUGACAUCCAUAGUCUACAGGCAGCCUCCUUCUCUCCAUGGAACUCUGAGGAGUCGUUUACUGCCUCUUCCCCUAGGACGCCAGCUCCACCAGGACACAGAAUAUCUCCUUUACUGCUACACACCUUCCCCUUAACCCGUGGCAGAGAUAAAAACAAAUGCAUUGGAAUGUAUGCUACCGUGCUCCCCACAGUGAUGAUAAUGGACUAAACCUCUGAAACUGUAAGCCAGCUCUAGUUAAAUGCUUUCUAAGGGUUGCUGUGGUCCUGGUGUCUCUUCACAGCAACAAAACACUGGCUUAGACACCUACUGCACAGUACCCCCUACAUCAGGAUCAUCUCUUAAUCGUGUAGAGUAGGAGCCGGCUUGACAUGAGAUCAGCUUCCUUGUUUCCCAGUGGGGACAUUCUGAAGUUUGUUCCAGAGGGUUCUUUCCAGAACUCAGACCACAGAAUCCCUUGCCAACCUCCACACCGACUUGCCUUGUUCUGUUGUCUCCUUUAACCCUUAGCAUGGCUUUUACUUUAUUUCUCAAUUCGAUGACUUAUUUGACAUCUUUGUUUCAGGGUCUGCUUUUAAAUGAACCCAAAUUAGGAAGUCACAAUCUGGGUUUGUGUACUGUCCCAUUAGUAGUGGGCUCAUGAGUUUUAUGUUAUGGAAUGUAAAAAUACUUAGCAUGACCCAGACAUAGGAAGUCCAUCUGCUCUGGUACUCCCACUUCCCCGUUUUCCUCCGCUGACCACCAGCAUCUGGCUAUUUCAGUCAGCAUUUAGAAUCUAGUCUGUUUCCAAUUCCUUCUGCACUUGGCCAUUUGUGUUUGUUGCUUCUGCCUGAGUAGCCUGUCAGGAUCAUCCAUGAGGCCCCCACCCAGGUAUCCCUUCCUCAUGGGGGUUUUGGGCUCUCCAGACUUCCCAUGAUCCUCUUGCAGUUUCCCUCAUGACACUUGCCACAUCACCCACUUCCUGAGGAUGAUAAUCUGCUCAGGUGUGGGUCCCACAAGGGCCCAAGCACACUGGUGCAUCGUGAGGCUCACUGGACAACCACAGGCAGCAUGUUCCUUUAACCCUGUCAUCCAGGGCAGCAAAUUAGACAUGCUGAUUAGACAGAGCUGGGAACACCAGUGGGAACGGUCUGAGAGAAAGUCCCAUUGUACCCCAGGGCAUGCUCGUUAGCAACCUGGGAGGAAGCAGAGGCUGCCAGUCAGUCCGUGGCAGUGGAGGCUUCUUGGACACAGACAUGAGCUGUCUCUUCGGUCUAUAACCAACUGAUUAUCCAGGAGAGGCUGCCUCUCAUUUCUAAGUGGACAACCCCACUGGUUUAUAAGGUGUUGUGCUCACACUUUCAGGGUAUGUAGAGGUUCAUACACGAACCACCAUCACACUCAACGUCCAACUGUGGCGUAGCUCAGUUCCUUUCCAAUUUGAGUUCACAAUAAAAAAUACAACAAAGAUUUCAAAGGAAAGGGAACAAAAGCUGAGGUCUUCCUUUCUGUGAGCCAACAGAGCACACAAAGCCACACCUGGAGUUACUGCUCUGGAGGGAUUCAGGAGAAAGCCAAGCCCCCAGGGGGGCUCCUCUGAAAUGUAGAUUCUAAUGCGGGAGGCCUGGGCCUGUCACAGGAUUCUGCAUUUUAACCAGCUCCUGUAGUGCCAAAGAUCUGAGUCUGUGUACUGUCCCAUUAGUAGUUGACACCCUACUUUUCAAAUAUUCUUAAGCCACUAAAAUUUAGGUGUCUAAACCAGGCAGUAGGACGUGCUUUCUUCUUUUCUUUUCUUCUCUUUUCUUUUCUGUGAUUUCCUUCUAUCUCAGAGUCAUUCCCCCCACCCGCCCCCCAGGGGGAAUCAGUGGAAUGAGUAGCCUUCACUGUGUUAUUAAAUGACAGCCCAUUGGAGAACUCAUCAAGUAGAGGAGAGCUGGACAAAUUAAGUGUGUAGACUCUUCCUUUCUCCUGCACUUUACAAUAUCCCCUGGUAAGUUUCUACUGAUUGCAAAAGCUCUCUGGGCCUCAUGAUGAAAUGGAUGCUGGUGUGUUUUCACGUGUCAUUUUAUAGAUAUUUAUAUUUAUGAGCAGAAACCAGUAUGAAUACAAAGGGAGGUGUGUGUGUAUGUGCGUGUGUAACAGAGAGAGAUGGGAGGGAGGGAGAGAGAGAGAGAGAGAGCCCACUGACCUGCUGCUGUGGUAGAUGGGGCCAACUCUAUAAACUCCCUGUGCUCAGGGAUGCUGUGAGGAUGUCCCAGCUAGUGACAGAGCCUGAGUGAUUUGUUGGCAUUGGUGAACUUACUGCCUUGCCCUCUGGGCAUCUGUAGUGUUGUAUCAGGAGGGCAAGAGGAUUCCAAAUAGAUUUAAUAUUCCCUGUAUGAGAUUCAACCAUCUGCCCGCCAGCUCUCAGUGUGAGCAUAAUAUAUGUAUGCCUCCAGAAUCGAACACAAAGAGCCCACUCUCCCCUUUCUUCCC
rnacentral:lncRNA from 1 species